rnacentral:rRNA from 1 species
UCGACCUGAGCUCAGGCAAGAUUACCCGCUGAACUUAAGCAUAUCAAUAAGCGGAGGAAAAGAAACUAACAAGGAUUCCCCUAGUAACGGCGAGCGAACCGGGAAUAGCCCAACUUGGAAAUCUCCCUCGGAGAAUUGUAGUCUAUAGAAGCGCCCUCUGCAGCGGCCGGGUCCCAAGUCCCCUGGAAGGGGGCGUCGUAGAGGGUGAGAACCCCGUCGGACCUAGGUGCGGCUGCCUCACGAGGUGCUUUCGAAGAGUCGGGUUGUUUGGGAAUGCAGCCCAAAGCUGGUGGUAAAUCCCAUCUAAGGCUAAAUAUUGGCGAGAGACCGAUAGCGAACAAGUACCGCGAGGGAAAGAUGAAAAGAACUUUGAAAAGAGAGUUAAAAAGUGCUUGAAAUUGUUGAGGGGGAAGCGAUUGGCAGCUGCGUGUGCACCCAGGCUUACGCCGUUCUAACGAUCGGCUGCAUGCGCUGGGUGUUGGUCAGCAUGGGUUGGCUUGGCAGGAUAAACGCGGGGGUUGUUACUCCGUCUAUGCUGCCGGGCCGACCGAGGCGUGAAGGCCGCUCUUGUCCCUCGGGAUCUGCGGCCUCGAGAUGCUGGCGGAAGGCUUUCAAUCGGCCCGUCUUGAAACACGGACCAAGGAGUCUAACAUGUAUGCGAGCUGGUGGGUGGUAAACCCAUGAGGCGCAAGUAACCUGACUUUGGUGGGAUGGCUUAGGCCUGCACCAUCGACCGACCGUGAUCUUCUGUGAAAGGUUCGAGUACGAGCAUACCUGUUGGGACCCGAAAGAUGGUGAACUAUGCCUGAGCAGGGCGAAGCCAGAGGAAACUCUGGUGGAGGCUCGUAGAUGUGCUGACGUGCAAAUCGCUUUUCGGACUUGGGUAUAGGGGCGAAAGACUAAUCGAACCAUCUAGUAGCUGGUUCCCUCCGAAGUUUCCCCCAGGAUAGCUGGAGCUUGUGUGUCAGUUUUAUCGGGUAAAGCUAAUGAUUAGAGGUUCGGGGGAUGAAACAUCUUCCACCUAUUCUCAAACUUUAAAUAGGUAAGACGUGUAAGUUGCUUAAUUGAACUUACGCAUUCAAUGAGAGCUCCAAGUGGGCCAUUUUUGGUAAGCAGAACUGGCGAUGCGGGAUGAACCGAUAGUUGGGUUAAGGUGCCGGACUACGCGCUAACCUAGAUCCCACAAAGGGUGUUGAUUGAUACAGACAGCAGGACGGUGGUCAUGGAAGUCGAAAUCCGCUAAGGAGUGUGUAACAACUCACCUGCCGAAUCAAUUAGCCCCGAAAAUGGAUGGCGCUGAAGCGCGUGACCUAUACCCGGCCAUGGGGGCAAGUGCGAGGCUCCCAUGAGUAGGAGGGCGUGGGUGUCGCUGCGCAGCCUGGGGCGUGAGCCCGGGUGAAGCGGCACCUAGUGCAGAUCUUGGUGGUAGUAGCAAAUAUUCAAAUGAGAACUUUGAAGACUGAAGGGGAGAAA